rnacentral:rRNA from 1 species
GAGUUUGAUCCUGGCUCAGGAUGAACGCUGGCGCGUGCUUAACACAUGCAAGUCGAACGGUGAACGAGGGAGCUUGCUCCUCCGGAUCAGUGGCGAACGGGUGAGUAACACGUGAGCAAUCUGCCCCGAAACUCUCGGGAUAAGCGACUGGAAACGGCGUCUAAUACCGGAUACGAGCUUCAGCCGCAUGGCUAGGAGUUGGAAAGAAUUUCGGUUCGGGAUGAGCUCGCGGCCUAUCAGCUUGUUGGUGAGGUAACGGCUCACCAAGGCGACGACGGGUAGCCGGCCUGAGAGGGUGACCGGCCACACUGGGACUGAGACACGGCCCAGGACUCCUACGGGAGGCAGCAGUGGGGAAUAUUGCACAAUGGGCGCAAGCCUGAUGCAGCAACGCCGCGUGAGGGAUGACGGCCUUCGGGUUGUAAACCUCUUUUAGUAGGGAAGAAGCGAAAGUGACGGUACCUGCAGAAAAAGCACCGGCUAACUACGUG